AGAGAAGAGACUGAUGAUUGAUUAAUUCAUAGAGAUGAAAUUUGAGUUAGUGUUCAUCAAUCCAAGUCUUGAAAAUCAACAGAAACCAUCCCAGCAAAUUCGAUUUACAGGGUAAGUAAUUACUACUACUACCAAUAUUACUACUACUUACAACAAAGGAACUACUAUAGUUUUUAGGGCUUAUCACAUCUAUUUAGUAUUUACUUCAAAGCCAAAUUGGAAUUAGAUUUGGAUUUGGUUACCCUUUUAAGGGAGUUGAUCGAGCGGAGUUCUUGAAUCUGUUCUUGUUGUUCUAAUAACUGUGUUUCAAGCCGAGUCCGUGCUUGCCGCGGACACAUCCAGGCUUUGUGAACAAAAACGGAGAUCUCUUCGAAUUAUACAUCUUCGUAAAACCUCUUUUCCCCAAUUUCCUCAUCCUCUGCCGUCCGAGUUUAUCACUGACAGACCACGGAACGAGUUCGUCAUCCAAAUCGAACUCAUCAUGAUCAUCAUGAUCAUCGGUUUCAUCCUCCUCCUGCGCAUCGUUAUAACCGUACGCAAAACCGUCUUCCAAAGAACCGUCGAUUCGAUCCUCCACAAGCGAAAUCGGCACCGCGAGAACAGGAGAAAUCAUCUCUCGAAGAUCUUCAUGAACUCUAGCGUCAACGCUGCAGUUUUCCCCUUGUUCUUCGCCUCCAUUUCCGUCCAUUUCUGAAUCGGCAUCAAAAG
rnacentral:misc_RNA from 1 species